UAAAUAAAUGCUAGAAGUCCAUAAAUCCUAAUCAAUGAAAAAGAAUGGGUUUUUCUCCAUCACACAGUCCCGAAUCCCCCUAAGUACCUGCCAGAAGAAGAAUACGGCAUGAGCCAAAUGCCCAGUACGGAUUGGAUGCAUUUACAAAACAAGAAACAUUUAAAAUAUUUUGACAGUAAUAUAAAUCAGUUAUUUUAAAAUAACAGGCUGAAGCAACAAGGGGUUAGGAUAUUUCAUACCGAGAUCAUAUCAGAACAUAUACAAAUACACACAUCAUAGGGUACCUAAUGUGUGCAACAAACCGGAUAACGUGUACGGCAUAUACAACGUCACCGUUAAAUCAAAAUGGCCAAAUGGCCACAAAUCAUAUCAAAACUGAACUGGGUGCACCCACGUAUCCAGAACAAAUAAUCAAAAUGGCCAAAGCUCCUCCCAAGAGCUAACAGAAGGAUACGCCGUGACCAAUCACACUGUCACGGAAGUGUCAUGUCAAUGGUGCCGCAAAGACAUGGCUGUAGUACCCCUACAGCUGGGUAACUCGGUAUACCCUAUAUCUCUCUAAGGGUUCAAACAAAACAAUUUUCACAACUUUAAAAUCACAUGGCACAUAUAUUUCAAAUAAACUGAACAAAUCAUAUUUUGUAAAAUCUUUGAAAACCGCAUAACAAAUAUUUCAAUCUUUCAAAACAGAUUUUUAAAAUAUUUUUCGGAAUUUUAAACAGUCAAUGAAUAGCACAAAAAAAAACUUAUCAAAUCGGACGGAUUAAAAUAGGACAGAUCAAAUUUAUUUAAUACCAAAAGGAGUAGCGCUGAAUAAAAAGAAUAGAAUCCGUACCUCGAAACUAGCACACCAAACACUCACGAGAAGCCAUAAAUAAUCCGCUAAACUCCCGACUCCGCACCUAAAUAUAAAAUUAUAAUUUUAUUAUUAAUCCAGACUAUACAUUAACUCUUACUCAAACAUAACCUAUCUUAUAUUAAUAUUUUAAUAAUCCUGUUGUACCUAAAUAGGCCAGAGUCUUAAUGCAGGUAAACCUAUGGAGUAAACUCACCGUGAGACUGUGAAGGAAUGCAUGUGAAUUAAUGCAUAUACACCAGGCAAUAACACGUUACGAAAAUAUUAAAUAAACUAAUGGUCGUAUACAAUCAAGGUACACUGCAAGGAUAAUCGAUUAGAAGACAUAGGAAUCAAAAGUGAUGAAUGAAUAAUUAAAUAAGAGUGAUUGACACUUUGCACCCCUUAUGUUUAGGCGCUUUUUCGAUUUGGUCUCAAACAAUUUUUUUUGGCAGUAUGCACCCUAAAGUUUGAGAAGCGCUUCGUUUUGCACCCCUUUGACCACUCUCCGUUUAAUUGACCGUUAAAGUUAACAGAUGUACCCUUUUCACUUUGCACCCCACAAUUUUAAUUUUUUUUCAUGAGUAUUUUGAAAUAUUUUUAGGAGAAACCCAGCUGUUUGCAGUAAAUACCUGGAAGGCUGGACUAUUCCAUGGAGGUUCUACCGGUUUGCAUUAAUAAAAAAGUUUCAGGUUGCAGCACUUCCCUGGGUUAAAAAGGUUGAAGUUACAAUGUCAGCCCAACCAGCAAGACCUGUUUAUGCUGAUCAGCUUCUAAUGGGACUGUAAAAAAUAUCAAACAUAGUGGCAGUUUCAAGUUGCAAGGGAGGCGUGGGAAAAUCAACAGUAGCUGUGAACCUAGCAUACAAGCAUACACUUUGGCUGGUAUGGGUGCAAGAGUUGGUAUAUUUGAUGCUGAUGUCUAUGGUCCAAGCCUACCAACAAUGGUCUCUCCUGAAAAUCGGCUGCUUGAGAUGGACCCAGAGACGCAAAAAAUUAUUCCAACAGAAUACAUGGGAGUCAAGUUAGUUUCUUUCGGGUUUGCUGAAAAAGGGCGUGCAAUAAUGCGAGGUCCAAUGGUUUCUGGUGUUAUCAACCAAUUGCUAACUACUGCUGAAUGGUAUGACAUGCCUCUGUCGAAUUAGAUUCCUUUUUAACAUUAAUAUAUAUACUCCUUUAAAUUAUUUAUUUACCUCGAUAUCUAUACAUGCCUUCUAACAUGUA